GACGAACGCUGGCGGCGUGCUUAACACAUGCAAGUCGAACGGAAAGGCCCUGCUUUUGUGGGGUGCUCGAGUGGCGAACGGGUGAGUAACACGUGAGUAACCUGCCCUUGACUUUGGGAUAACUUCAGGAAACUGGGGCUAAUACCGGAUAGGAGCUCCUGCUGCAUGGUGGGGGUUGGAAAGUUUCGGCGGUUGGGGAUGGACUCGCGGCUUAUCAGCUUGUUGGUGGGGUAGUGGCUUACCAAGGCUUUGACGGGUAGCCGGCCUGAGAGGGUGACCGGCCACAUUGGGACUGAGAUACGGCCCAGACUCCUACGGGAGGCAGCAGUGGGGAAUAUUGCACAAUGGGCGGAAGCCUGAUGCAGCAACGCCGCGUGCGGGAUGACGGCCUUCGGGUUGUAAACCGCUUUCGCCUGUGACGAAGCGUGAGUGACGGUAAUGGGUAAAGAAGCACCGGCUAACUACGUGCCAGCAGCCGCGGUGAUACGUAGGGUGCGAGCGUUGUCCGGAUUUAUUGGGCGUAAAGGGCUCGUAGGUGGUUGAUCGCGUCGGAAGUGUAAUCUUGGGGCUUAACCCUGAGCGUGCUUUCGAUACGGGUUGACUUGAGGAAGGUAGGGGAGAAUGGAAUUCCUGGUGGAGCGGUGGAAUGCGCAGAUAUCAGGAGGAACACCAGUGGCGAAGGCGGUUCUCUGGGCCUUUCCUGACGCUGAGGAGCGAAAGCGUGGGGAGCGAACAGGCUUAGAUACCCUGGUAGUCCACGCUGUAAACGGUGGGUACUAGGUGUGGGGUCCAUUCCACGGGUUCCGUGCCGUAGCUAGCGCUUUAAGUACCCCGCCUGGGGAGUACGGCCGCAAGGCUAAAACUCAAAGGAAUUGACGGGGCCCCGCACAAGCGGCGGAGCAUGCGGAUUAAUUCGAUGCAACGCGUAGAACCUUACCUGGGUUUGACAUGGAUCGGGAGUGCUCAGAGAUGGGUGUGCCUCUUUUGGGGUCGGUUCACAGGUGGUGCAUGCCUGUCGUCAGCUCGUGUCGUGAGAUGUUGGGUUAAGUCCCGCAACGAGCGCAACCCUUGUUCACUGUUGCCAGCACGUUAUGGUGGGGACUCAGUGGAGACCGCCGGGGUCAACUCGGAGGAAGGUGGGGAUGACGUCAAGUCAUCAUGCCCCUUAUGUCCAGGGCUUCACGCAUGCUACAAUGGCUGGUACAGAGAGUGGCGAGCCUGUGAGGGUGAGCGAAUCUCGGAAAGCCGGUCUCAGUUCGGAUUGGGGUCUGCAACUCGACCUCAUGAAGUCGGAGUCGCUAGUAAUCGCAGAUCAGCAACGCUGCGGUGAAUACGUUCCCGGG
rnacentral:rRNA from 1 species